rfam:Cavia porcellus supercont2_26 genomic scaffold, whole genome shotgun sequence.
AGGCACCUACUGCAGUCUCUAAACCUUGGUAAGUGAACAGCGAUUAUGGGACAAGAAAUAAGCCAGCAUGAGAUUUUUGUUGAAAGUUUAGGAAAGGCUUUAAAGGCAUGGGAAAUAGAGGUUAAAAAUAAGCAGUUAUGUCAAUAUUUUGAAUUUAUAAAGUAAGUUUGUCCCU